AUUGAACGCUGGCGGCAGGCCUAACACAUGCAAGUCGAGCGGAUGAAGGGAGCUUGCUCCUGGAUUCAGCGGCGGACGGGUGAGUAAUGCCUAGGAAUCUGCCUGGUAGUGGGGGAUAACGUCCGGAAACGGGCGCUAAUACCGCAUCCGUCCUGAGGGAGAAAGUGGGGGAUCUUCGGACCUCACGCUAUCAGAUGAGCCUAGGUCGGAUUAGCUAGUUGGUGGGGUAAAGGCCUACCAAGGCGACGAUCCGUAACUGGUCUGAGAGGAUGAUCAGUCACACUGGAACUGAGACACGGUCCAGACUCCUACGGGAGGCAGCAGUGGGGAAUAUUGGGCAAUGGGCGAAAGCCUGAUCCAGCCAUGCCGCGUGUGUGAAGAAGGUCUUCGGAUUGUAAAGCACUUUAAGUUGGGAGGAAGGACAGUAAGUUAAUACCUGGCUGUUUUGACGUUACCAACAGAAUAAGCACCGGCUAACUUCGUG
rnacentral:rRNA from 1 species